rnacentral:lncRNA from 1 species
AUCGGCGGUGAAUAGGAGGAGGACGAUGAAGAGGUGUCGGAUUGAUGAGGAGGAGAUCGGCGCUCCACGAGACCCUCUCCACUACCAGCCUUUGUCGCUCAUAGGAAAGAGGUGUCGGAUUUUGUGAGCUUUAGCUCAUCAUCGUCGGUGCAGGUGGAGUAAGUGCUUAUCCUUGUAUUUAUCAUGAGCUUUGUGAAAUGCGUUAACUGAAUCUCAUUGUAAAUUUUCCACAGGGAUGAAGUAACUUUCAUGGAGCGGAUGGCCAAGAAGGAGAGACUUGCACCUACCACGGAGGGGGCGACAAGUUAUGCACGAGAGCCAGAAGUUGUCGUCAUCGGACUCGAUCCCAGCCCCAGCAGGAGGCUCCCUUCCAGUACCUGACGACAAGUAACUGAACGGAUGUCAUAGUCGCCUCCAUCCCUCUGCAGUCAGAGACGGAGCAUCCAAGGGCGGCUCAUGAGCGCUCUACCGUGGAGUGCAGAUCUCAUUCUAGGACUUCCGUUGAUGAGCCCGUCUGCACUGGGAUGUGCCCGUAGCCAUGCGAAAAUAACUAAUGUUGCCGGAGGCGGAGAUGUUCCUCCUCAACAAGAGCCCAC